GGACCCGCACAAGCAGCGGAGCAUGUGGUUUAAUUCGAAGCAACGCGAAGAACCUUACCAGGCCUUGACAUCCGAUGACCGCUUCAGAGAUGAAGUUUUCCUUUCGGGGACAUCGAGACAGGUGGUGCAUGGUUGUCGUCAGCUCGUGUCGUGAGAUGUUGGGUUAAGUCCCGCAACGAGCGCAACCCCUGCCUUUAGUUGCCAGCAGUAAGAUGGGCACUCUAAAGGGACUGCCGUAGACAAUACGGAGGAAGGUGGGGACGACGUCAAAUCAUCAUGCCCCUUAUGGCCUGGGCGACACACGUGCUACAAUGGUCUGAACAGAGGGAAGCGAAACCGCGAGGCGGAGCCAAUCCCAUAAAACAGAUCCCAGUUCGGAUUGCAGGCUGAAACCCGCCUGCAUGAAGGUGGAGUUGCUAGUAAUCGCGGAUCAGCAUGCCGCGGUGAAUGCGUUCCCGGGUCUU
rnacentral:rRNA from 1 species